rnacentral:rRNA from 1 species
AUUGAACGCUGGCGGAAUGCUUUACACAUGCAAGUCGAACGGCAGCACGGGAGCAAUCCUGGUGGCGAGUGGCGAACGGGUGAGUAAUAUAUCGGAACGUGCCCAGUCGUGGGGGAGUAACGUAGCGAAAGUUAACGCUAAUACCGCAUAAGCCCUCGAGGGGGAAAGGACAGGGGAGUCGCAAGACCUUGCGCGAAUGGAGCGGCCGAUGUCAGAUUAGCUAGUUGGUGGGGUAAAGGCCGUACCAAGGCGACGAUCCGUAGCGGGUCUGAGAGGAUGAUCCGCCACACUGGGACUGAGACACGGCCCAGACUCUACGGGAGGCAGCAGUGGGGAAGUUUUGGUACGAA